GAUGAACGCUGGCGGCGUGCCUAAUACAUGCAAGUCGAGCGAAGCGGGGACGGGUGAGUAACACGUGGAUAACCUCCUAUAAAUCUGGGAUAACUUCGGGAAACCGGAGCUAAACCGGAUAAUUAAAGAUGGAUCCGCGCUGCAUGAGCUAGUUGGUAAGGUAACGGCGUAAUAAGGCAACGAUGCAGAGCCGACCUGAGAGGGUGAUCGGCCACACUGGAACUGAGAAACUGUCCAGACUCAUACGGGAGGCAGCAUGAGGGAAUCUUCCGCAAUGGGCGAAAGCCUGACGGAGCAACGCCGCUGGAGUGAUGAAGGUCUUCGGAUCGUAAAACUCUGUUAUUAGGGAAGCGUUACCUAAUCAGAAAGCCACGGCUAACUACGUGCCAGCCGCCGCGGUAAUAC
rnacentral:rRNA from 1 species